CCUACGGUGUGCAGCAGUGGGGCAUAUUGGACAAUGGGGGAAACCCUGAUCCCGCGACGCCGCGUGAGUGAAGAAGUCUUUCGGUACGUAAAGCUCUAUCAGCAGGAACGAACAUGACGGUACCUGACUAAGAAGCACCGGCUAACUACGUGCCAGCAACCGCGGUAAUACGUAGGGGGCAAGCGUUAUCCGGAUUUACUGGGUGUAAAGGGAGCGUAGACGGCAGCGCAAGUCUGGAGUGAAAUGCCGGGGCCCAACACCGGAACUGCUCGGGAAACUGUGAAGCUGGAGUGCAGGAGAGGUAAGCGGAAUUCCUGGUGUAGCGGUGAAAUGCGUAGAUAUCAGGAGGAACACCGGCGGCGAAGGCGGCUGACUGGACUGUAACUGACGUUGAGGCUCGAAGGCGUGGGGAGCAAACAGGAUUAGAUACACUUGUAGUC
rnacentral:rRNA from 1 species